rnacentral:rRNA from 1 species
GAUGAACGCUGGCGGCGUGCCUAAUACAUGCAAGUCGAGCGAACGGACGAGACGCUUGCUUCUCUGAUGUUAGCGGCGGAUGGGUGAGUAACACGUGGAUAACCUACAUAUAAGACUGGGAUAACUUCGGGAAACCGGAGCUAAUACCGGAUAAUAUUUUGAACCGCAUGGUUCAAAAGUGAAAGACGGUCUUGCUGUCACUUAUAGAUGGAUCCGCGCUGCAUUAGCUAGUUGGUAAGGUAACGGCUUACCAAGGCAACGAUGCAUAGCCGACCUGAGAGGAUGAUCAGCCACACUGGAACUGAGACACGGUCCAGACUCCUACGGGAGGCAGCAGUGGGGAAUCUUCCGCAAUGGGCGAAAGCCUGACGGAGCAACGCCGCGUGAGUGAUGAAGGUCUUCGGAUCGUAAAACUCUGUUAUUAGGGAAGAACAUAUGUGUAAGUAACUGUGCACAUCUUGACGGUACCUAAUCAGAAAGCCACGGCUAACUACGUG